rnacentral:rRNA from 1 species
GACAGAGGGUGCAAACGUUGCUCGGAAUUACUGGGCGUAAAGCGCGUGUAGGCUGCUUCGCAAGUCGGGUGUGAAAGCCCUGGGCUCAACCUAGGAAGUGCACUCGAAACUGCGAAGCUCGAGUCCUGGAGAGGAAGGCGGAAUUCUCGGUGUAGAGGUGAAAUUCGUAGAUAUCGAGAGGAACACCGGUGGCGAAGGCGGCCUUCUGGACAGUGACUGACGCUGAGACGCGAAAGCGUGGGGAGCAAACAGG